CUACGGGUGGCUGCAGUGGGGAAUAUUGGGCAAUGGGCGCAAGCCUGACCCAGCAACGCCGCGUGAGGGAAGAAUGUCUUCGGAUUGUAAACCUCUGUCCUUAGGGACGAAAAAAAUGACGGUACCUAAGGAGGAAGCUCCGGCUAACUACGUGCCAGCAGCCGCGGUAAUACGUAGGGAGCAAGCGUUGUCCGGAAUUAUUGGGCGUAAAGGGUGCGUAGGCGGUAAUCCAAGUCAGAUGUGAAAGACCCGGGCUUAACUCGGGAGGUGCAUUUGAAACUGGGUUACUUGAGUACAGGAGAGGUAAGUGGAAUUACUAGUGUAGCGGUGAAAUGCGUAGAUAUUAGGAGGAACACCAGUGGCGAAGGCGACUUACUGGACUGUCACUGACGCUGAGGCACGAAAGCGUGGGGAGCAAACAGGAUUAGAUACCCCCGUAGUC
rnacentral:rRNA from 1 species